rnacentral:lncRNA from 1 species
GAAACGGCAUUAAGGAUCCACAAGCAGCAGGAAAGCAGAUGGAUGAUAAGACCAAGCAAAACAACGAUGGUCAUCCCUCAGAAAGCACUUCCCCAUCAAACACUGCCCUGAUGGAGGUGGGUGGAGAUGUUACAGAUGCUUCAGCUUCAAACCAGGUGUUAUCUAAAAACAAUGCUGGAGGAGAUUUGCCACCAGAGACCCAAACAGAAAACCCCUCAGUAAGCUUGGUGGAAGCUGAUGGGGCUGGUCAGCCCAUGCCAGGCACUGGGAUGGAGCAGGCAGACAGCUGGGCAAGCCUCCAGCCAAGCGCAAAGAGCGGCUCCAUUGCUUUCUCUACUGCUAACAUGGGCACAGGGAUAAUGUUUGUGAGCAGUAGUUCGGCCACUACUCUCAGAGACCGACUCAGAUGGACCAGCGGGGCCAUCUCAGAAGACCAGGACAAGGAAUGCCCAGCUGAUGGCUUGGAGAGCUACGGGCUGGCGCAGGAGCCAGAAACCCAGCUGAGCAAGAGCGGGGUUGACCCUGGCAGCACUCAAUCUGCUCUCUGUGAGGCUCAUCAAGCAGAGUCAAAAGAGAUGGCGAAGGAAAAUGAAGACCCUGGUGCAGACUCGCUGUUGGACACCUCUCAAGAGAAGUCCUUCUCGGAGGAGCCAGCCACUGACUCCUCUUGUUCAGCAACAGUUCCCCCAGAGCAAACUCACACCGACAGAGAAAAGCAGAGGUCAUCUGGGAAAAGGAGGAAGAAGAAGAGGCACAGCAAAAGCUACUCAGAGGUUGAGACUGAUACUGGAGAUAAUAAAACAAAAAAAGAUUGUGUGGUACAAUGAGGUGUCACAGCAAGGCAGAAGAAAUAACAGAGACCCAGCGAACCACUCACGUGUCCUCAGAGCGCUGCCAGCUUCUCAGAAGCCAGGUUCUGCAUCGCCAAAACACCACCGUGGUCACCUCUGCCCAACAGGACUCACUGCUUCUCUUCAUGCAGCCUUUCGUUCCCUCUCCAAGACCCAGAGAGCCUUCCUGGUGACUUUGGACCCCUUAGCUUGUGCCUCAUGCUGGGCGCUCACAGGGCUGGGGGCCGGUUCUGUGCAUGGUGGCGUGAAAGGGUCAGACCUCUCAUCUGCUGUCCUGGAAACUAAAUCUUUCAACCUGCUCUUAGGCCAAACUCCACUUGGAACGACAGCUGAGUGUGGCCCAAGAAAGGACCUCAGUGUUUAGCCUUCAGAGAAAUAUCAAAAAUAGCAGUGCCUCAACUACAGUAAGGGUAUAAAUUAAGCAGUGUCUGUACCAUCACAGGUAGAAGCAUGUUAACUCCCCCUUCUCAUCGCCUACUGACGAUUUAUCUGGGACCAGAUCCAAGACCUAAGUAUUGGUCUUGGAUCAGACAAAGUAUUUUUACUCUCAACCAUUUAAAGCCAGGGAAAUUGGUUACAGGGAAAAAAAAGUGGAAAAAAAAAAAAAAAGUAUGUAUUUUAGUAAGCAUAUGGCCAUAUAAACAGUGUCUGGUUCUACAUGAUGCUUAUGUGCAAUUAAGCUGAAGCACAUCGGUAGUCUUGCAGUCUACUCACACAGAUGCAUCCAUCAACUUUCAGAGAUCCAGGGCCUCAGUUCCUCUUAUUAAAGCAACAGAGGUUUUCCAGAGUGCUUUAUCAGACACAUUUCAGCUCAUCCUUUAGUAAAUCUCUGGGUUUGAAUUCUGUUGUCAGCUGCUUGCACUCAAUAUUCUUUAUGUCCAAGUUGUAGAAUGUGUAGAUUCAUGUUACUUUUGCUUUAAAACUGGGAAUGUGCAGUAUUGUGUUUUCAAAAUUCAGAGAUUUAUUUCUUAAGUUUUGUAAUAACAUUGUAUCAUAGUUUUGUACAUAGCUGUCAAUUUAAAAUGAUCUAUGUUUGUUGAAUCUAUAGUGUGAUACUGUGCUGAAACAUGAAUCAAGUGGAAGAGCUGGGUACAUUUAAGAACUAUGCCUUUAUAUGGUAACUCACUGUGGCUAGACUAAUGUUCAGGCUAAAGCUUAUUUUGCCUUGCAUAACAGGACUUGUCCUUGUAAUAUUGAAAACUUUGCUGGACUAAGUUGGAAGUUAAAUCAAGAAUUAAAUCACUGGUUUAUUUUAACCAAUGCAUUGCCAUUAACAUAUUGAGAAUCAGUUAAAAGCAGAGAUGCGUUGAGAGCAGACACAUGGGCAGCUUCAGUUCAGGAGACCCCACAGAGUGGCACAGCCCUUUGGCAACUGAAAUCCCAUUCCUGGCUGGAAGAAGCAGGCAGAGCCCCACCGUUUCCUGGAGAAUCACAUAACCCACCCCAGGUUUGACUUGCAGGACUGGCUCUAUCACAUUUACAGGUUUUCCCAUUUCUUUUUUCCUCUUUUUGUGUCUCAGAGCACGUCACCCAAGCAUCAUCCUUUUGCUCUUUAACCUGGCUUCUCUGCUCUCAGAUCAGACCCCAGGCUUCAAAAUCUGAGUAUUAAACACAUUUUCCCAGCAGCUUCGCAACCUCUGUGUUUCCAGCAAGAGCCUGCAGCCCAGGCUAGCAGUGAGCAGCCAACCUCCUCCUCCCCACCCCACUGUUCUGUCAAUAAGAACAUCAUUUGGCGAUUCAAGACUAGGGAACAAACAGGCUUUCUGGGUGUUACCUAGGGAACCUUACCUGCUAAUGCUUUGCAGGCUGCUCUCUUUGGCAGGUGUCCACUUUUCUGUCUGCGUCUUUCAGCUAUCCCCCAUUUCUGCCUAGAGAGAGCAGCUCUUUUCACACAGCCAGAAAUUUUAUUACUGUGUUCUUACCUUGGCCAUCAAAGAGAGGGUGCUUGGCAUUAGCUUUCCACUGCCCUCAAGAGUUUAUAAAAAAAAUGGGUUAUUUUGAGCCACUGGCGGUUAUUUGUUCCAUAGUCAUCUGUGAAAACUAUGUUAAAUUAUCUCUUCAAUCAUAUCCCAAUAUGCGAGCUGAGGCACAGCAUUUGUACUUUACUACUCCAGAGCAGCUCUGCUUCCAUUACAGCGACAAAGAAGAACAGAGGGACAGAACCAAAGCAGGUCAAACAAAGAUGUUCAACUGGGAUGUGCAGGUUUGCUCCAUUUUUAUCUUAAAAUAAAGCUCACGAUCCUGAAGAUUUUUCAUGUUUGCAAGGCUAAAUUAAUUGCUGGUAAAAAGAAUGUUACUUGCAGCUACCUGAACAGGUCUGUGGUCAUUUAAGUCGAUAAUGAGUUUGGACCUCAAAAAAGAAUUUUUCUGGUACAUUACAGCAACUGCACAUGGAGUCCAGUAUGUAAACUAGGCUGUGAAUGCCACAAGUUUCUAGCUGCCAAAUAACUGCAUAUUCCUUAACUAAGCAUUGACUAUAUGAUAAAAUGAAGUUAUGAAAGAGAUCAGCAUAAGUCUUUUCCAAGUAUUUCACAUCAGAAUUCAGAUAUGUUUAAUGAGAUGGAUUUUUAGGGUUAGUUUUCUGGGGGUUUUGUUUUUAUUUUGUGUUUUGCUGGGGGGUUUAGUGGGGUUUUUUUGUUUAAUUUCAAUACUGAAAAUUGGUCAAAGUUUAGAAUAAAAUAAGUACUUGAUAAAUUUCCUUUCUCUUGUGGGAAUGGGGAAGACCUAUAACUCACCAGAAUUUGUCCAUCAAAGUCCUAUAUUUUCCACAUAGUUUAUAAGGCACCUAAGCAUAUAAUUGUUGUAUAUGCUUAGCAAUAAUUACCCAUUGUUUUCUCUCAAAGAAACAGAGAUGUAUAAAUGGAGCUAUACCUAGUACAUGAAAACUACCAGUGUUGCACUGUACUUAAAGCACAGCUAAAAUUUGUGUCCAAAGGUAUGCCAAUAUCUUUUAGUUUGAACGUAUUGUUUGGUCCUCUCCUACAUUCGGUAGGGAAUGUAUUUCUCAGAGCUAAGAAAUACCUUCUGUUCUGCUUAGAAGGAAAGAGGAUAAAUUAAAAUAAAAAUGCAUGAGCCCAUU